rnacentral:rRNA from 1 species
GAUGAACGCUAGCUACAGGCUUAACACAUGCAAGUCGAGGGGCAGCAUGGUCUUAGCUUGCUAAGGCCGAUGGCGACCGGCGCACGGGUGAGUAACACGUAUCCAACCUGCCGUCUACUCUUGGACAGCCUUCUGAAAGGAAGAUUAAUACAAGAUGGCAUCAUGAGUCCGCAUGUUCACAUGAUUAAAGGUAUUCCGGUAGACGAUGGGGAUGCGUUCCAUUAGAUAGUAGGCGGGGUAACGGCCCACCUAGUCUUCGAUGGAUAGGGGUUCUGAGAGGGAAGUCCCCCACAUUGGGACUGGGACAAGGUCCAAACGCCUACGGGAGGCAGGGAUGAGGAAGAAUGGGCCAUGGGCGAGAGCCUGAAACCGCCCAGUAGCGUGGAAGGGUACCGGCCUAUGGGGUGUAAACUUCUUUUAUAAAGGAAUAAAGUCGGGUAUGGAUACCCGUUUGCAUGUACUUUAUGAAUAAGGAUCGGCUAACUCCGUG